CCGGCCGAGCAGCGCACCUGCAGCUCCUCGAAGGCGUCGUCGAUGCCGGUGACCUGGUGCUGCUCGUGCAGCGCGGGCUCGUCGCAGAAGAAGCAGAGCAGCGCGCGGAAGUCUCGGAGAUAUUCAUGAUACCAUCUGCAAGGUGAAGAAGACAGGAAGCUUUUCCGAUGUGUCUGCGCAUGCACAGCACUCAGCACACAGUAAAGCCCAGCACCUUGAGAGAAUUGUCUGUACAUCCUCCUGUGCCACCGUCAGCCCAUUGCAGCCUGCGCAUCCUCCUGGGCCAGCACCAGCCGACUGCAGCCUGAGCAUCCUCCCGGGCCAGCAGCAGCGCACUGCAGCCUACACAUCCUCCUGGGUCAGUACCAGCUCAUUGCUGCCUGCACAUCCUCCUGGGCCAAAACCAGCCCACUGCAGCCUGCACAUCCUCCUGGACCAGCAUCAGUCCACUGCAGCCUACACAUCCUCUUGUGCCAGCAUCAGCCCACCGUGGCCUGUGCAUUCUCUUGGGCCAGCAUCAGCUCACUGCAGCCUGGCUCUGCUCCCCACCACUCCAUUCAUCAUCUCCUAAUUGCCAAUUAAAAAUACUUUCGGAGACACAGUUGCUGCUGUAGAAAAACAAAAGAGAGGAAAACUAAGAAGUCACCAUUCAGAAAGAACUAUUGUUAAUAUUUGGAUCAUAUCCUUACAGAUCUUUUUCACAUAUUCUAUAUAUGUGUGCACAUGUGUGCACACACACACUCGGGUGUAGGGGAAAGGAGAAGGGGAGUUGUGGGAGAGAGAGAGAAAGAGACAUUUUUUAAAAAUAGAAAUGAGUUCACUCUCUAAAUUAGUGCUUCUCAAUACGUAGUUCUUGAGCCACAUGUGUCUUAGAAUGGGUUCUUCCAAGAGCUGACCUUAAGGUAAAGACUAAAGUGAAAAUAGUUUAUUUGGGGAGCACACGUAACACUAAUAGGGAAGUGGGAAGGUGAUACAGGGAAGGGAAGGCAGCCCCAUAAGGGUGCACUAUUGUCACAAAGGGGAACUAAAGAUUUAUCCUGCAGGGAAACUCUGGGAAACGGUACAAAACCUCAGAAUGAUUGAUGCCUCAGAAGCAUCACACCCAAAGGGUGAGGGAGCUAGGGUAUUUAUACACCAUGUUUGAGUGUUGAGGCUGCUCCCCAGUGGUGUUUAAUUCCUUGGCACUUGUGAACUGUGAUGUGUACAGUCAGCUCUCUGUAGUUCUGGGAAAAUGAUCCCUCAGCUACCAUGUGGAUGCUGGCAGUCGGAAGUCUUGUGAAUACAUUGACAGGUUUGAGAGAAAUUGGCAGGGCAUUGACAUUAUGUGUCACAGUUCACCCUUGCACCUGCUCAGAUAAACUUGCAUUCACAUUAAGUUUCAUGUUCUGUCACUGCUUCUUUGGGUGGUGGAAAGUCACGAUUUUUUACAAGAAGAGAGGAGAAGAAGGAGGAGGAAGAGGUGGAAAGGAUAACAGAUAAGAGGAGGGACAAGCUCCAGACCCCACUGCUGUAGUUGGUCCUGAAGUGUAACUGAUGCUCAGCUUCCGACUCUACCACCCUUUCUAGACGCCCCUUACCUGGUCCAGCAGGGGUCACUUCUGCCAGUUCAGAAACUCCUUUCUUAGCUUGCUGGUCUGCUGUCAUGAGGAUCCCAAAAUUACCAGAGGCAGAUACAAUUUUAGGUUUAGUAAAAUCAUAAUUAUGUCCUCUAAUAGAAGUGAUCUUUCCCUACCCUCUGAGAACUAGGAUCUCUGGUUCAACAGAGCCUAAAGCUUUGGCAAUAGAAAGCAUAAAUUUGCCGAGUGGGUCAUUGGGAAUAAAGGUGAGAGAAGCCACUCAUUUUGUGGCUUCCAGACCUAUGUAUUCUGCCUGUCGGGGAUGUAGCACCCUUACAAUAGCUAUUGUCUAAAGUGUAGAAAUACAUGUAAGGGAGGCAGGGCGCAGUGGCUCACGCCUGUAAUCCCAGCACUUUGGGAAGCUGAGAUGGGAAGAUCACGAGGUCAGG